UGGGGAAUAUUGCACAAUGGGCGCAAGCCUGAUGCAGCCAUGCCGCGUGUAUGAAGAAGGCCUUCGGGUUGUAAAGUACUUUCAGCGGGGAGGAAGGGAGUAAAGUUAAUACCUUUGCUCAUUGACGUUACCCGCAGAAGAAGCACCGGCUAACUCCGUGCCAGCAGCCGUGGUAAUACGGAGGGUGCAAGCGUUAAUCGGAAUUACUGGGCGUAAAGCGCACGCAGGCGGUUUGUUAAGUCAGAUGUGAAAUCCCCGGGCUCAACCUGGGAACUGCAUCUGAUACUGGCAAGCUUGAGUCUCGUAGAGGGGGGUAGAAUUCCAGGUGUAGCGGUGAAAUGCGUAGAGAUCUGGAGGAAUACCGGUGGCGAAGGCGGCCCCCUGGACGAAGACUGACGCUCAGGUGCGAAAGCGUGGGGAGCAAACAGG
rnacentral:rRNA from 1 species